AAGUAGUAAGCAUGUCCUACUCCUAUAUAUAUGUUACAUUUAAUGAGUCGCCUAAUGUAAUAACUGUCAUUUACGCUCUCCUAUACAAAGUGCGUUUGUGCAUUAGUGGAAGGGAAAAGUAUUUCACCUGAGGGCGGGAGUGACUUUGCUUUUGAAGCAGAAUUGUUAGCUAUCAUUACUGCCAUCAAUAUUGAUCGUGAUCAUGAUCAUGAUUGGUUGUAUCUUUGGGUUGAAGCGGAUUCUAUGUAUGUGGUGCAACUUCUGGAAUCUCGUUCCAAGGAUGUUCCUUGGCGUUUUAUGGCUUAUUGGAUGCAUACUCUUCGGCUUCUUCAGGACUUUAAUUUGAUGGUUACCCAUAUUUAUAGAGAGGGUAAUAAGCCGGGUGAUAUUAUGGCUAAUGGGGAGAGGCAGGAAGGCUGGUGGCCUUUUGCCAUUGAGGAGAUUCGUCAUACGGUUGCUCAGGAUAUGUCAACUCAUAGUCAUGUUAGAGUUGUUCAUUAAUUGUGGGUUGGCGUGUUUGAGUGCCACGACAUGUUCGAUUUUUUAGGCUAAGUUGGGUCUGAUGCCGGUUAGUCGUUUGUUGGAUGGUCGGUGUUUUUGUCUUUCUUUACGUUUCGUCUUUUGGUUUUUUCAUUGGUCUUUGUUAUGGGAGAAGAGAGCCGGGAUUUCUUUAGGGCGAUGGUUCGGCCGGAGCUCUAGAAGUUAUCUCAACUCAGCUUUCUUGCCCAUCUAUUUCGUUCUUUUCUUUGUAGGCGAGUACUCUUUUUCUUCCCUCUUUGGGAGAUUUGAAUGAGGCUCGGCCCUUAGUCUGCUCUCCUAUGCUGUCAAGGGUUGUCUAGGUUCCUUUUUUCCUUUUUUUUUUAAUAAAACCGUAUUUUAAUAAUAAUUUCGAUAUUCGUCGUGCA